UCGUUCUCUAUUUUUUUUUACUCAAAUAAUAAAAAACAAAUAAUUAUUCAUUUUAAAUGAUACAAAACGGUCGUCUUGACAAACGUUUUAUAUUUCUUUUUUAUUCUAUAUUUAAAAAAAAAAAAAAAAUUGGAGGGAUAUUUAUGUGGACCAUUGGGAUAUUGAUAAUUACCCUAAUUAUUCAAAGGCUGCUUAACAUAAUUGAAACGCUUCUAUAUUGCACUAUCACUAUUCACUAGAGUAUCAAACUAUCAACUGCUUACUGCUUCAAAAAAAUGAUGAAAAGUGAAACCUCUUGUUGCUCAAUUCACCAAUAACUGCUUCGUCGCCCUACCGCCCCACCGUCGCUCCAUCUCCCCACCGUCGUCCCACCGCCCCACCGUCGUCCCACCGCCAAACUAUUUAACGUCUACUUCACCGCACCGCACCGCUCCGCUACACUACCACUGCACUUUCCAGGUAAUUCAUUCAAAUUUUUCUUGAUUUGGAUGAAUUUGUCAAUCUAAUUGUAUUAAUCAAUCGAAUUUUUCAAUUCAGCUGUAGUGAAUUCAUAUUUUUCAUCCAUUACAGUAAUUUCGAUCGAAUUUUUAGUGGAUUAAAAAAAAUUCACAAUUUUAGUUUUUGGGAAAUAAUUCAAUCAAUUCUUAUAAACGCAAAUAAUUCAAUAGAAUUGCAGUUUUUUCAAUCAAAUUACACUUAAUUUAUUCGAAUUACAAGAAAUUUCAGUAUUAAUCAAAAUUAUUUUCGCCAUAUUAUUCUUACCUAGGUCAAAUAUAGAACCUAAUUAGAUAAAGAAAGAGGUGUAGGGGAAAUUGAUUACCACUAGAUUAUUAUGUUCUAUUAAUUUCAAAAUAUUGGGAAUGAGGGACAUGAAGGCUUUUAAUAAAGCUCUACUCGCUAAGCAAGCUUGGAGGAUCCUAAACAACACUCCCUCACUAAUGGUUAAAACUCUGAAAAAUAAGUACUUCCAAAAUUCUGAAUUUAUGUAUGCUAUGGUGGGUUCUAAUGCGAGUUAUACUUGGAGGGCUAUAUUAUCUGCUCGAGACCUGCUAAAAAAAAGGGGCGGUGAAGUCUAUUGGGAAGGGUCGUAGCAUUGAUAUUUGGCACGAUCCUUGGGUGCCUUCCCUUCCUGGUUUCCGCACUUUUCAGAAUGAAACUCAUAGUCAGGACUCCCCUAAAGUGGUGCAUGAUCUAAUCAGUGAUGGAGAGUGGGAUAGAAUUGAAGUCUCAUUAAUUCUAUUUUCCCCCCCUUGGAAGCUGAAGCUAUAAUGAAUAUCCCUGUUGCUUGCCUCUAUGAUAUGGAUAAGUGGAUGUGGGUACACUCAAAAAAGGGGGAAUUUUCUGUCCAAAGUGCCUACUAUGUGCAAUUGCAGGCUAAUCAAACUUAUCGUGCUUCUAUCUCUGAUGCGAGUUGGAUCACUAUUUGGGGAAAGCUUUGGAAUGCAAAUAUACCUCUAAAAAUCAAGCACUUUGGCUGGAGAGCUCUUCAGAAUAGCAUCCCUGUUAGAAGCAUUCUGAAAAAAAGAAAUAUUUGUGAGAAUGAUGGUUGCCCGUGCUAUGGUGUGGCUGCUGAAACAAUCAUACACUCCCUUUUCACUUGCUUUGAAGCUAAGGUGAUUUGGUACCUUUCCCCUCUUCAUCUUGAUACUAGCAAGUGUGGAGAAUCCUCUUUUCUGGUGUGGUGCAGCAAGUUGGAGCACUAUUAUAAGGAUAAAAAUUGGUGGGAUAUUUUUUGUUGCUUAGUGUGGGAAAUCUGGUUGAAAAGAAACACUCACUAUUUUGAGAAAAAAAAUCAUGACUUUAGAGAAGGUGAUUUGCAAGGCAAUGAAUAUGGUGGGUGAGUACAAGAAAGCUAAUGAAAAAAUUCCUUAUGAGAUGUGUGAAAGGCAAAGUGUUAACAAGAAGUGGUCUCCUUCUGCUGUUGGGUACUACAAGAUUAACUCAGAUGUUGCUGUGUUUGGUGACAACAUGAUAGGCUUGGGUGGGAUCAUGAGAGAUCACCUUGGUGAUGUUAUGGCAGCAACUUGUUGUUUACGGCAUGGGUGUUUUGAGGUGGAUAUUGAUGAAGCUUUUGCAGCAAGACAUUGCCUGACCAUUGCUUUGGAUGCAGGACUGCAUGAUUUAGUACUGGAAACUGACUGCAGCAAGUUGUACAAGUAUUUACAGCAUGGGAAAUGUGAAACUUCAGCCUUUGGUGUUAUUGUUAGUGAUAUUCUUCUCUUGGCUAGCUCUUUCUCUAGUAUUUCUAUUUCACAGGUUGGUAGAGAUGGCAAUUGUGCCGCUCAUUUAUUAGCUAGAGGAAGCAUUGAGUUUGGUGAGAUGAGAGUAUAAUUAGAACUUAGAAGAAGUGCCACAUUAUGCUUGUAAUACCGUGCUGCUAUAUUUAACUAGCCUGGAGUAAUAUUAUGCUCAGAUUUUUUGUCCAAAAAAACAAAACAAAAAAAAAAACUCUAAGUUGCAAAUUAUUUUAGAAAAAUUGAUUUGCUUUUCUUUUCUUUCAUAAAAGGGUUGGUUAUGAGAUGCUGUGAUUGAAAUUUAGUUAUGAUUUAAUCUAAUUCUAGUGAUGUAUAAGAGUAGUAAUGGUGUUUGUGGAUUUUCGGUAGCUGAUUGUGAAGAGAGAAGAGCAGGAAAUCAAAAUCUUAUGGAAGUGAAUUUAUAAUAAUAGUAAGGUGGCAGAGUUGAUUAAAGGAAAAUUUCUUGUUGGUUGAUUGUGAAGAGUUGAACUUGAUACGUUAGUGCCCCUCCUUCCCUGACACUGGUAAUAUUUGUUGAUUAUAUCUGCAUCCUACUUUUGAAACUAUAACGUCAACUUAUCCAUCUCUUAACAGUUAACAGGCACUUUUGCUAAGUCAUCCAAAGAAAGACAUGGUGACAUUGCAGAAUAACAACCAUUUAUAAAGUACUCCGUUUUCUGGUCUAUAAAUUUAGGUUUUGUACAAGGAUUUCCAGAGGAUGUUCAGGAGGCCGAGUCUUAGAACCUGGUUUGUGCGAAGAAUUUGGUGAUAGACAAGAGCAUCCAAAAAGCAUACAUUGAAGCAAUCAGAUCUGCUCAACAUUUCAUUUAUAUAGAAAAACAGUAUUUCCUUGGAUCAUCAUAUGCUUGGCCAAAUUACAAAAAUGCCGGUGCUGAUCAUUUGAUACCAAUGGAGUUGGCCUUGAAGAUUGUUAGCAAAAUCUGAGCCAAAGAGAGAUUUGUUGUCUAAGUUGUCAUCCCUAUGUGAAUUGUAGAUCAAUAUGGUAUUGGUAUAUCUAAGCAUUAUUUUUUUAAAAUCAACAUUAACUAGAAAGGUGUUUUGAUAUUAAACUCAGGUAUUUAUUUGUACAGAACAAAUUUCGUAUGGAUGGUAGAAUUUAAUUGUGGUUAGAUGUUUUAAAUUAUAUAUAUGAAGUAUAUUUUGAUGGCUUUUGUCGUAUUUGGAAAUAUUUUUGUUAAUUUUAUUAUACAGAAAUUUAUAUUGCACGUAUAUAGGAUCAUGGAUUUAUU